ensembl:lncRNA
CAGCCACUAGGCCCAGGAUCCUCCUGCUCCACCAGGCCCAGGAUCCUGCAGCAGCCACCAGGCCCAGGCUCUUCCAGCAGCCACUAGGCCCAGGAUCCUCCUGCUCCACCAGGCCCAGGAUCCUCCAGCAGCCACCAGGCCCAGGCUCUUCCAGCAGCCACCAGGCCCAGGAUCCUCCAGCAGCCACCAGGCCCAGGAUCCUGCAGCAGCCACCAGGCCCAGGCUCUUCCAGCAGCCACUAGGCCCAGGAUCCUCCAGCAGCCACCAGGCCCAGGCUCUUCCAGCAGCCACUAGGCCCAGGAUCCUCCUGCUCCACCAGGCCCAGGAGCGUUAAGAUGCCGCCUAAGAGGAGCAACGUUAAUGAGGAGGAACUGGAGGACAUAAAGAAAUCCCUAAACUUUAUGUCUGAAGAAAUAACAACAAUUUCAAAACAACAAAAACUGAUACUCAAUUUAAUGGAUGAUAUUAAAGAACUAAGAAGGCAGAGCGAGGAAAAGGACAAGAAGAUUGCUAUGCUGGAAGGACGGGUGUCAGAUCUGGAACAAUAUUCAAGAGUAAAUGAUGUGAUAGUGACAGGACUGGAAACCAAGCAUCAGACAUACGCACGGGUAGCAGCAGCAGAGAGAGGGGAGCCAC